rnacentral:RNase_MRP_RNA from 1 species
UGGUUCUUCCUAGCUCAACUCUCGUGGUUCCAUACGAGUUACCUCGAUAACUCUUCAGUUGCUUCUCACUCGGAGCAUGCCAUGGGAAAAGUCCCCGGGCCUGUGACAGAAAGUGUCAGGACGUGAUUUCGUCCCUCUUGCUACGCAGUCAGAAGUUGGGAGGAGACUUCCGGCUUAGACAGGGUGCAAAGUUGCCAGAUUCUAUAGUUAUGUUGAGAUUUGCCGGUUUGGGGUGGGGUUAGACCUUUGAGAAAGAGGAACCUCUCUCUCUCACUGUGUUUCCCCUGCCUCUUUCGAUCUCACACAAUGGGGCUUACUCAGAAAGAACU